rnacentral:lncRNA from 1 species
AGACAUUAACUAUGAUGGAUUACGUAAUUAGAGCAAAUAUCUAGUAAUGUAUUACAUAACAUUUAGACAUUUGCGAAAAGGAAUGCUACGGAAAAAAUCUCAAAGUAUUCAAACAGCUGACUCUAAAUUGAAUUUCAAAUUGUAAUCAUUUUAAAGUUAUAGAAGAUAAACAAGAAAUAAGAAACCAAAGGGAAAAGAGGAACGUCAAAGUGAGACAUACAAAUCAACGAACACAAAAAAAGAAAGGACAGAUGCAGGAUUUAUUAACUACUAGUAGAUGUUAUUGGCUUUGAACUAGCUGUCAGUAACUGCGAGCACUCUUAGAUCGUUUUAUUGUUGGGAUGUACAAGUACCCGGC